rnacentral:lncRNA from 1 species
AUAAUGCCGUACACUGUAUAAUCAGUGGACAGAAAGGUGUAAGAUUACAGCCUUUCAUGUUCAAUCAUAUGGUGUCAAAUAGAUAAAAUUAUCCAAACAUGAAAGCAUCGAUUGAUCUGAACCACUGCCAAAAAUUAGCCGUAUAUAAAGAAAAUAUAAAAGAAAUCUUCUCCAUAACUUCAAAUAUUGUUCAAGAAAUGAAGCAGAUCUGCAGAUGCCUAUGGAGAGGUUAAUGGAGGCUGCCCGGAUUGGUGAUAUCGACACCUUAUAUGAAUUUUUAUGAUUGGAUCCAUUCCUUUUGGAAUCCAUUGAAUUGCGUAGAGUUUGUUUAUACCCCUGUGCAAAUUGCUGCAUCAAAGAGGCCUAACCAACUUUGCCAUAGAAAUCCUGAGCUUAAAGCCUUCAUUAGCCAAGAAGCUGAAUUCAGAGGGAUUUAGUCCUCUGGACUUGGCAUUGCAUAGCGCAAUGGNNNN